rnacentral:rRNA from 1 species
GACGAACGCUGGCGGCGUGCCUAAUACAUGCAAGUCGAGCGGACCUCUUCGGAGGUCAGCGGCGGACGGGUGAGUAACACGUGGGCAACCUGCCUGUAAGACUGGGAUAACUCCGGGAAACCGGAGCUAAUACCGGAUACUAUGUCAAACCGCAUGGUUUGACAUUCAAAGACGGUUUCGGCUGUCACUUACAGAUGGGCCCGCGGCGCAUUAGCUAGUUGGUGAGGUAACGGCUCACCAAGGCGACGAUGCGUAGCCGACCUGAGAGGGUGAUCGGCCACACUGGGACUGAGACACGGCCCAGACUCCUACGGGAGGCAGCAGUAGGGAAUCUUCCGCAAUGGACGAAAGUCUGACGGAGCAACGCCGCGUGAGUGAUGAAGGUUUUCGGAUCGUAAAACUCUGUUGUCAGGGAAGAACAAGUGCCGGAGUAACUGCCGGCGCCUUGACGGUACCUGACCAGAAAGCCACGGCUAACUACGUGCCAGCAGCCGCGGUAA